AUGCACGCUGGCGGCGUGCCUAAUCCAUGCAAGUCGAGCGAACAGACGAGGAGCUUGCUCCUCUGACGUUAGCGGCGGACGGGUGAGUAACACGUGGAUAACCUACCUAUAAGACUGGGAUAACUUCGGGAAACCGGAGCUAAUACCGGAUAAUAUAUUGAACCGCAUGGUUCAAUAGUGAAAGACGGUUUUGCUGUCACUUAUAGAUGGAUCCGCGCCGCAUUAGCUAGUUGGUAAGGUAACGGCUUACCAAGGCAACGAUGCGUAGCCGACCUGAGAGGGUGCUCGGCCACACUGGAACUGAGACACGGUCCAGACUCCUACGGGAGGCAGCAGUAGGGAAUCUUCCGCAAUGGGCGAAAGCCUGACGGAGCAACGCCGCGUGAGUGAUGAAGGUCUUCGGAUCGUAAAACUCUGUUAUUAGGGAAGAACAAAUGUGUAAGUAACUAUGCACGUCUUGACGGUACCUAAUCAGAAAGCCACGGCUAACUACGUG
rnacentral:rRNA from 1 species